GGCCCAGGCAGCCGGAGCCUGAAAGUACGAGGAAAUCACAUCACAUAAAUGAACGAAGAGAGUUUGAUGGGAAGCAGGGCACUGGCAGUUUCCAGGCUACGAGGGGAGAAGGAGCCUGGAUGGUUCCUUGCUGACAGAGCACGGGGGAAUCACUCCCUCCCCCAUGGCACAUGCCAGGCCCACUCCUGCACGCACAUGCGCGCGUGCGCGCACACACACACACACACACACACACACACACACACCGCCUCCUGUAGCGUGGUGACGUCAGGCCGACUCAAAUCCGGGGACCCACUGGGCAGAGCCUGAGCUCUCCAGAAAUAAAUGAGAUGCAGCAGCAUCAACCUCUUGGCCCAGAGCCCACUCCAUGAGCGCCCCAGCUUGCACAGGGUCCACACGUGGCAGCUCGUGGGUGUCAUAGAGCUGAUCCCCUUCCCCAAAGGACCCUACAGCGUGGAUGAACUCUUCUGUUGACUCUGCUUUGGAGUUUUCCUAAGAAUUUAGUGACCCUCCCUUGGCACAGAGAAUGACCUCAGAUUCCAGGAGGGGGUCCUGACCCGGAGGAAAGACUCCCAAUGACUUUGCUGCUCCAGGCAAGAGCCCUGACCUCAGACAGGUCUGCGUGGGGAGCAUCAGGAGGCGGGCCACCCCGUGCAAGGCGCUGGCGGGGAACUCAGAGCACACAGAGCCGAGAGGGACCAAGGUGGGCACGUGGCAGGGGUUCUGGGCUGACGGUGCCACUGUCCCGGGGCACCCCCCACCCCUCCCCCAGCCAAGAUGGGCACCUAUCGUGGUGUUUCCAGGGGCCACUUCCUACCCCACUGGUUCCGGUGGUGCUGGACAGGACCCCCGAGGCCUGGCCCCUCGCUGUGGCCAGAGGGGUGAACCAGGUAGCCUGGGUCCGUGAAGGGAGGCCUCCCCAGAGCCCAAGCUCCAGCGCAGGCUGCCCGUGGGCCUGAACACAAGGCCGUUUGGAUUCCAGGGAGCGUGUCUCCGUGACCCACAUGUGCAGGCCACGCAGGGCUGCUACCCUGAGGGGACGUACCCCAGCCCCAUCCUGCCACUUGCUUACCCGAAAGCUGCCUGGUGAGAUCCAAAUUCACUUCUCUUCUUUGUGUGUGUUUUCUCUGGAGCCCGACCCAUGGGCUUUUCUGCAUUCUCUUUGAGAUAAAAAUCAAAAACAAAUCUUUAAAGGCCAUCUCCAAAAACCACAGAAUGGCUGGAAUUAAAUAAACAUAAAGCUUGUGGUUUUCCUCUCAGGAACUUCCUGCCUAACUGAAAUGCACUGAAUCAGCAGCACCUCAGAGCCCAGGCGGAGGCUCCCAGGACCCCGGGCUCAGCCUUGGGGCAGGGGCCACACCCAAAGGGGACCACGUCCCACCCUAGUGAGCCCCGGCCAGCCCUGCUGGCCUAGUGCAGCACAGACGUGGGAGUAGCUUCCGUUCGAGAGGAACUUCCCUGAGGCCUGCGCACCAUCACCACAGUGUGAGCCGAUCAGGGUCCCCCAAAUAUUCAUGUGCACAGAGGAGAGGCUCCGGGCAAAGACAGCUCGGGUGGCGGAGAAGGGCCCACGGACACAGGGCACAGGAAGCACCAGAGUGUUGGGGGCAGAGGCCUGAGUUGGGGCGGCAGGCUGCAGGCUUGAGAUUCGAACGGGCUUGGGCAUGACCGCCCGCUGCUGCCCAGUCCCUGGCCCUGGUGAUCUAGGACACGGGGAACGCCCUCGCUGUGUGGGAGGUGGACAAGGGGCGGUGGGGCCAUGGACGCAGGGCUGUCCAGUUCCCCAGGAGGCUCCAAACUUCAGCCUCCUCCCACCCGAGAACCUCCCACGUCAGAAAGGAGGCCACUGAGCUGCUGUCACUCGGGGCACGACCAACACGACGUGUGCGCUUUUCUCCUGACAUCAGCCGAGUCUGCCGCUCUCCGGACACCAGCCGGGGGUCCUGCGACUGAACUCAAUCCCGAUACCAACCGCCAACGUCAGUGCAGACCCCCCGGGCUGAGGGGCCCCUCGAGACUCCCCCAUGUCAGGCCUCUUUCGAGGAACAUCCGCAGCUGUCUUGAAAGCCGAGGUCCGGGAACUACUUUUUUGAUCCUCGGGCGCAGAGCGGAGGCUCUAACGCAGCCUGUGCGCAGACGCGUGGCUCUGCUCUCGGCCUCCCUGCAGGCGGCUGGUGGAAAGCAGGGCCAGGCGGGGACAGACGCCCGCAUCUCCCGGAGGGGCCCCAGGAGGAGACGCAGGGAACCACGAAGACCCAACCCGCCCCACAGACCGAUCCGCGGAGCCGCCCCGCGACCCCCCCCCCCCCCCCCGCACACCAGGACCUGUGCCGCAGUGUCCACAGCAGGGCAGAGUCCGCCCACAGAGGAGGGUGGGCAACACGGGGCCCAUCCACAGGAUGGAAUACCACCCUGCCUCAGACAGGAAGGGGAUUCUGACGCACGCUCCAACACGGACGCACCCGGAGGACGUCGCGCCCGCGGAAAGCCGCCACCACAGGAACCUGCUGUGGUUCCCCUUCUGGGAGGUCCCUGGAGGGGUCCAAGUCACAGACGCGGGGAGUAGACAGUGGGCACCGGAGCCAGUGCCAACUGACCUGGGGUUUGAUUUGGGGACAGCAAAAUGUCCUGGGCCCCGAGAGAGGCGAUGUCACACGACCUCGUGAAUGCCCUAAACGCCACCGAGUUGCUCCCCUCAACAUGGUUAUUCUGUGCCAGGUGAACGUGGCCUCGGUAAAGGAGCCCGAGGCCGCCCUGCGAGGCCCGGCGGCCCGUCCCCCAGCAGACAGGGCCCCGGGCGAGCAGCGGGCAGCGUGCCGCACCCGCCCUCCCUCCCCGGAUUCAGCCAGGCAACCCCGCUUCCUCACGCCCACCGCCGCGCACUGCCCCGCGGUCUCCCGCCUUUGCCGGGGCCCCCCACGGCGCAGCCACUCGACGCCCAACGUAACAGACAAAGAAGCCAAGAGGGUGGGCCGGGAGCACCAGCCUCCACCGGCGGAAAGACCGGCCAAAGGGCCCGAGUCCCCCACGCGCCCCGCCCCAACGCUCAUCCAGGGGUCUGAGAAGGGAACUCUGGCCCCACUUUAUGACCCUACAGGAACGGAGGCAGGUGUCAGACUCGGCCCCACGUCGCAGCAGCACAACAGCAAAAGGCAGAGGCAACCCGCAGGUCCAUCCCCAGACGGACAAAUAAAGCACCCCAUCCACACGCGGAACGUCGCGGGAAAGAGGCACGGACAUAUCCCGCAACACCAACCUCGCAUACGGGCCACUCAGCGUGGAAAGCCAGGCAACAGGCCGCACGGCGUGACUCCACUGACGGGACACGUCUGGAGCAGGCAAGCCCGCGGACACCGAGAGCACAGUGGGUGGGGAGUGACCACUACCGGGUAUAGAGUUUCUUUUGGGGGCAGGUGAUGGGAAUGUUCCGGAACGAGACAGAGCUGGUGGGUGCACAACACUGUGGAUGUGCUAAAUGCCGCUGCAUUGUUGAGUACUAAGUGGUUAAUUUUAUGUGCGUUUCACCUCGUUUUUUAAAACAGAAGAAACCGUGAAAAAAUCAAUUAAUUUAGAAUCACAGACCGGUGGUGGCAGAGAAAGUUGGAGCGGAGCGAGGCCGGUGUGUCUGACAUCCUUCCCGCCGUCACGGCCCGAGGUUCCCACACUCGUUGCACGCCCUGCAGGACAGCGUCCUUAGGACAUGUGACUGAUGCACUCGGGACAGGGGAUGGCCCGUUCCCUGUUGUGACCUCAGGCCUGUUACUUCCCCACCCCUCCAGGAGCCUCGAGGCCCCCACUGCCCAGCGUCGGCCGGAAUCCAGCUGCGUCCUGAGCAGGACUCACGUGCAUGUGUGCACGUGCUCGUGUGCACUCACGCACCAUGCACCGUGUCGCAUCCACAUCUGCGUGCACAGACACAUGCCCAUGUUUGCGUGUGAUGGCGUGUGCUCAUUUGCGUGCGUGUCCGUGCACGUGUGUUCUGAGAAGGCGGCUGUGGCACAGCUCCAUCCAAAGAAAUACCAUAUGAGCCACAGACUCAACUUUUUUUUUUUAAGAUUUUAUUAAAUAAUCUCUAGGGGCGCCUGGAUGGCUCAGUAGGUUAGGUGUCCG